GGGGUGUGGAAAUAUUUGUUGUGGGCACUUGUCCCUGGGCAAGUAAAACUGUAAAUUUCACUUGUCCGGAAAAAAAGUUACUUGCCCUGAUGGUCCCAUAACUAUUGAAGUAUUUCAUUGUUAGCUAACAAUUCUUAGCACUGUUUUGCAUCACACAUAAGCAAAUGAAAUCCAUUUGUUAAAAUGUGUAAACAUUUAGGAAGAAGUUAACAUCUAUGGGACAGAAACUUUACAGCAAACCAACCAAUGAAAUGACAUGCAAAGGUCAUUUUUGCAGAAUUUUUUGAAUAAGAAUUGUAGCCAGUAUGUACAUAUAAUGAUAUACUAAUUUAAAAGACAGUGAGUGAAGAAAUGAAAAUUAAAUAAUGGAUAAACUAUUGAUUUUUUGGUGUUUCUUUCAACUGACACUUGUUUUUUUGUUUGUUUAUAAUUGUCUUAAUGGGCAAUUAAAGCACCCCUUCUAUCUACCACUCUGACAAAAAUAAUGUUGACCUUUGAUCUAUAAAUAUAAAGACAAAAACAUUUUUUUUCCCUGAAUUUCCAUCCUAGAUAGCCAGGUGCAAUCUGAUAGUGAUACAUUGUAGUCACGAUGUCCUAAAUUCUCGCUUCCGUAUUUUUUUUAAUACUCCUUUUCCUCCAUUUGCUUUUUCAUAUUUUUACUCUACUCAUUACUCUUUUUGUCUUGCUUGUCCACUUUUUUCUUAAGAAUUUAUCAACGAUACCAAGGAUUUGUAUACUAUACAAAUCCUUGACGAUACAAAAUUAUAUAAAAUGACAUUUCCGGUCAUGAUGGAUAAAACCUAAUCGACGAUCCCGGGUCAAAGGACAAAACCAAUGCAAUGUUAUGCGACUCGGGUUCGCAUACUUAUUUUUAUUUAUUUUAGUAAUCAAUCUAUCUCCGGUAUUAUGUAAUAUUUAUCGUCAUGAACAUUGUUUUUACUCGCUGACCAUUGAUUUAUUUUACAUGAAUUAAACAUCUUUAUACAUUUUGAAUUUAUUCUAUGUUUUUGUUGGAUUUGAACUUUGUCUUUUAUAAUUUUUUACUUGUCCACGGGCAACCCAGACAAAAAUAAUUACUUGUCCGGUUGUUUAAAUGUACGAGUCGGGCGAGUCGGGCAUAGCAUUUCCACAC
rnacentral:lncRNA from 1 species